GACGAACGCUGGCGGCGUGCUUAACACAUGCAAGUCGAACGAAGAGCGAUGGAAGCUUGCUUCUAUCAAUCUUAGUGGCGGACGGGUGAGUAACGCGUAAUCAACCUGCCCUUCAGAGGGGGACAACAGUUGGAAACGACUGCUAAUACCGCAUACGAUCCAAUCUCGGCAUCGAGGAUGGAUGAAAGGUGGCCUCUAUUUAUAAGCUAUCACUGAAGGAGGGGAUUGCGUCUGAUUAGCUAGUUGGAGGGGUAACGGCCCACCAAGGCGAGGAUCAGUAGCCGGUCUGAGAGGAUGAACGGCCACAUUGGGACGGGGACACGGCCCAGACUCCUACGGGAGGCAGCAGUGGGGAAUCUUCCGCAAUGGACGAAAGUCUGAAGGAGCAACGCCGCGUGAGUGAUGACGGCCGUCGGGUUGUGAAGCUCUGUUAAUCGGGACGAAAGGUCCUCUUGCGAAUAGUUAGAGGAAUUGACGGUACCGGAAUAGAAAGCCACGGCUAACUACGUG
rnacentral:rRNA from 1 species